UAUCUACUUUUGAUUUUCGAACAGCGACCCGUACCUAACCUAUCGGAUGAACUUUUAGUCAAAAAAACAAAAAAACGAAAAAAUGUCCGCGCUCAACCGCUCAACUUCCCCGUCGACCGGAUUUCAUUUCACUAUUAAGUUCGGACACUAUUGAUGGACGGCAAACAGUGGUGCGCUAUAAACAAACGUCACUCGUUCCGCUACUGUUGCCCCGCGCUCGGGGGAAAACGGACGAAUCGACGCGUACCGGUGACGCGACCGUACCCGUAGCCUUCCGUGUCCGGCGGCAUCCGUCAUGCGUUUUUCACCGUGUCGUUCGCGCGGUAACGUGUACGCAUUUUCGUGUCAGUGCUCUCCGGCGAUCGGCGGUGUCCGAUAAUGCUGGCCUUCAGUUUGUACGUUGUUGUUGUUGUUGACCACCCGAAAUUGCGUUUUCGCGUCCGC